UAUGUCGAGCGAUAUUAAGCGGAGGAAAAGUUGGUAUCAGAGAGCCGAGUCCGGAAUCAAGGUGAAGGCGGGCGUGUUCCCUUCCCUCGUCCCCAUGGACUCCGAGACCAGGUCGAAAAUGCUGCAGUGGAACUACCUGGACACAUGGUUUGGACGGCCAAAGAAAUCGGCUCGUGGGGGUGGGGUCAGAGGUGGUGCUGGCCACAACACCAUCCCCCGUCCCCACUCCGGAGACGACUUCAACGAGAUCGAGAUCCAGGCUUCCAUCAUCGCGAGGAUGGACGAGGAGACGGUCAACGACAAAUUCGAGGAGAUGUUGGCUAAUAUGAAUCUCACGGAGGAGAAGAAGGAGCCCCUGCGACAGCAGUCCGAGGUGAAGAAGAAAGAGAUGCUGGUCUUGCAUUACAAGGGCAGCGUGCAGGAAAACAGAUCGAAAUUCGAUAAGCCCGCGGAUUAUAUACAGUAUUUGGCUCAGCCUGACCUGAGCGUUAACAAGAUCUACAACUGUAUCGAGUCGCUGAGGAUCGCCCUGACGAACAAUCCUUUGAGCUGGGUCCAGGAGUUCGGGACGAAAGGGCUGAAGCAAGUUCUCGCCACGCUGAACGAAUGCUACCGGAAUGCCUUCAUAUAUUACGAUAGCGACAACCGAUACGAGCGAAUACAGUACGAAUGUAUUCGGUGUUUGAAGGCGAUCAUGAACAACACGGUUGGGAUUAAAGAGAUGCUGGCCCACCACGAGGCGCUGACCAUCGUGGCCAGAUCUCUGGAGCCCAGCAAACCUUCCGUCAUGUACGAAGCUGUGAAAUUACUUGGUGCGGUCUGUCUCAUCUCGAGUGACAGCCAUAAAAAGGUUCUCGAUGCCAUUACCAUGAAUGGAGAGUUCAAGGGGCGGGAGAGGUUCCUGCCGAUCGUCCAGGGAUUGAUGCACAAGAAAAACGAAAACCUGAGGGUGGUGUGCCUUCAGUUGAUCAACUCGAUAAUCUCAUCCGCGGAAGACCUGGAUUUCCGGCUGCACUUGCGGAACGAAAUCAUGCGAGUCGGCUUGGCCGACAUUUUGGAGACCUUGGAGAAAGAUGAGUCCGAAGACUUGUCGACGCAUCUGAAAAUUUUCAACGACUACAAAGAGGAGGACUACGAGGAGUUCGUCCAAAGAUUCGACCACGUCAGGCUGGAGUUGGACGACGUGAACGACUGCUUCGAGGUGAUAAAGAACAUGGUCAUGGACACCAUGGCCGAGCCGUACUUUCUGUCGAUUCUUCAGCAUCUUCUGUUCAUCAGAGACGACGCUCUGGUGAGGCCUGCUUAUUACAAGCUGAUAGAGGAGUGCGUGUCGCAAAUCGUGCUUCAUCGUUCAGGCUGUGAUCCGGACUUUAGUGCAACCAAACGCUUCCAAAUAGACGUCCAACCGUUGAUCGACACUCUGGUAGAGAAGUCUCGCGCCGAGGACGAUCGUCGAUGGGUCGAGCUGUCGCAGAAAUUAGAGGAAGCGAUAUCUAGUAAGCAGGAGGCAGAAGCUAAACUUCAGCACGCCGAGAAUAAAAUCAAGGAAUUGGAACACGGAACGGAGAGAACGGGAGGUGGUCCCGCGAAAGGUGGGCCUCCGCCUCCGCCUAUGCCCGGGAUGGGUGGAAUACCUCCGCCUCCUCCAAUUCCUGGCAUGGGUGGUCCACCCCCACCUCCGAUGCCUGGAAUGGGGGGUCCACCUCCACCACCGAUGCCUGGAAUGGGUGGACCACCACCACCACCGAUGCCUGGCUUUGGCAGCCCUGCCCCACCGCCUAUGCCCGGCAUGGGUCCUCCACCUCCUAUGAUGAAUGCCGGCCCUCGACCACCUGGACCAGGAGCGGUCCAAGUGUUACCUCACGGCUUGAAACCCAAGAAGAAAUGGGAGGUCGAAGGCCCCCUGAAGAGGGCCAACUGGAAAGCGAUCCUGCCUCACAAGCUCUCGGAGAAGUCCUUCUGGGUGAAGGUACAGGAGGACAGACUGGCUAGUCCGGAAAUUCUUAACGGCUUGGCGCAGAAGUUCUCGUCGAAACCUGCCGGCAAGAAAAUCGACGACGUCGUCGACAAGUCUGCUCCGACCAAGAAGGUUAAGGAUCUCAAAGUCUUGGAUAGCAAGGUGGCCCAGAAUAUCUCGAUUUUACUGGGAGGAACCUUGAAACACAUGCCUUAUGACGAUGUUAAAGCCUGCUUGCUUAAGUGCGAGGGCCCGGUCAUAUCGGACAAUAUAUUGCAAGGACUAAUUCAGUAUUUGCCACCUCCUGAUCAGCUGGCUAAGCUGCAGCAGUACAAAGACCAGUAUGACGACUUGACGGAAGCCGAACAGUUCUGUGUAACGAUAUCCACGAUCAAGAGGCUACUGCCGAGAUUGAGAUCACUGAGCUUUAUGCUGCGCUACGAGGAAUUAGUGCAGGACGUAAAGCCGGACAUCGUUGCUGGCACGGCUGCGUGUGAAGAAGUGAAAUGCAGCAAAAAGUUCGCCAAAAUUCUUGAAUUAAUCCUUCUGCUGGGAAAUUACAUGAACUCUGGUUCGAGAAAUGGUCAAGCGUUCGGAUUUGAAAUCAGUUUUCUUACCAAGUUAACGAGUACAAAGGACGUGGACAACAAGCAAACACUUAUGCAUUAUUUGGUGGAUACGAUCGAAAGGAAGUUCCCGGACUGUUUGACUUUCUCGGAGGAGUUAGCUCACGUCGACCGAGCUAGCAGAGUUUCGUUGGAAAACAUUCAGAGAACCCUUCGGCAGAUGGAUACCAAUUUACGCAAUCUCGAGCAGGAUCUGGCCAAUGCCAAAAUUCCGCAGGGAGAUAUCGACAUGUUUGCAGAAGUAAUGACGCCGUUCGCCAAGAAAGCCAGGGAAUCGUACGAAGUUAUGCAAAGCAUGUUCAAGAACAUGGACAGCCUCUACACGGAUAUCUCGGAAUUCUUCGCCUUCGACAAGCAGAAGUACACCAUCGAGGAGUUCUUCGGCGACAUCAAGACGUUCAAGGACGAUUUUGGGCAAGCACAAAAGGAGAUCAUCAAGAUGCGCGAGGGCGAGGAGAAGCAGAGAAGAGCACGCGAGGCGCGGGAGAAGAUGGAAGCGGAGAAGACUGCUCGGGCGGAGAGGAAACGCGCACUGGUCGACAUGAACGCUCACGAAACGCAAGAGGGAGUUAUGGAUAGUUUAAUGGAGGCUCUCCAAACUGGAUCUGCCUUUAGCAGGCCGGAUCAACGUCGCAAGAGGCAGACCCGCGCGGCCGGUGAACUUGCCUAAAUCCGAAGAAUUAAAUGAGGGUUACCAGAAAGGAGGGCACAGUUAAACAGAAGUCGAUCGCGAACAGGAUUGGUGGGAACUGGAUUGCUCGGAAGAGAAUUGUCUACGGAACUGCUAAGUUCAGCGUAACAGAAAGAGACCAAGAGGUGUCCGUCCCAAAAUUGAUGCUGUGAUGUUUUAAGCUUCAGUCUAUGAUUUUUGAGUACCGCUGCAGCGAAGUACAAAAUGGUUCUUACUCAGGCAGGACAUAACGAUCAGUGCCAGAUUAUUAUCGCACUGUGAUACCAUUUGUACCCAACAUUAUCGUUUGGUUCAGAUGAGUUUCCCGAUGUCUUCCCACUGUCUGAAAGCAUCGUCCCGGAGGAUACUCUUAAAAUGACAGCGACCUAGGUACAUAGAAACGUUCAGGGUUAAGGGGAUGUGAAAGUGGCAUCCGGGAGGUCAAUCGUUCAUGUAACUUUUCUCCAAACUAGGUGUAAUUGCUUCAGACUUUGCAGCUUGAAUAUGGAGACUAUAGGGAAGGUCCUGACACCCAUGAAAUUUCAUUUUUUAUCAAGUCGGUACACCCAGUUCGAAGAAAUGUUUCAUAAGGGAGAUCCCUUUGACGUCACUUUCACAUCACGUUAAUGCAUAGUAGGUAUGCGGUUACUAUGUUUACACAGAAAUCGUGCAGGUGUGGUUAUUAAGUCCGUACUGUUGGCAAUCGUGUAAGGUUUCAAUGAAAAUGGUAAUUGCAUGAACGAUACCGAGGGUGAGGGGACUGUCGAUUGAAAGAAGCCCAGCUCUUAUUGAGUUUUAACACGUGGAAAAACUUAGUUAGAAAAUCGUAGUCAACUCCACUGCUGCACCACGGACGUUUCGACGAUGCUAGAAAUGUCUAAUUCGUGUAAUUAGUAUUUCCUCGACUAACCGGAGACUAUUAUGAUACUCUUAGGUGGCAAUUGUGGCUAACAGCAACUGAACGUAUAUUCCGAUGGAUUGUGUCAAAUCUAGGAGAAACGUUUCAUGUACAAAUCACACGGGAAUGGGGAAACGGGAAUGUUCAGUCGGUGUACAUUUUGUGAGAUCGAUAACUGCCUCUUCUUCUGUGUACUUACACUGACUCGAUCAUGAGAGAUAUGUAAAUAGUGCAAUUUAGAGCCGUACGUUUGAUUAACGAAACAGAUAGUUUUAGGGACGCCACGUCUUUUUGUACUUUUUAAGGAAUCCUUUUUACUUCAUCUUUCGCGGAGAUGCAUUUACACGCAAAAUGAAAAAAAAGAAAAGAUAUCAAGAGUGUCAUAAACCGCCCAACUAUCUGCAAGUAAAUCUACUUUAUAGAAAUAUAGGAUUAAAAAAUUGCCAAGACCUCUAUUUUAGGCACGACUGUAAGAUAUAAAUGCCGUUCACUAAACGCUAUUAAUUUCCGCAAUAAACGCCAUCAAUUCUCGACAAUUUGACCUUCUCGAUGCUGGGCUAGAUUAAUUGUAUUAUUUUGAAUGGUUAAUGCAGGUGUACGUUACGAGGGAUUUCUUCGAAGGAGAUUUGCCUUCCCCGCAAUUCUUAUUGCAAACCUACGAUCGUGCCUUAAAUAUGCGCCGCGUAAUUAAUGAAUACUUAUCGAUAGAUAAGGAAAGGUGAGAAAUUUAUUUUUUUGAAUCUUGAUGCCAGCUAUUGUUUAUAUUGUAUUUGUUGUACGAAGGAAGGGGAGUCUUGUAACUAUACUGUGAAUACGUACAUUUAGAAUAAAUUAUUACUUUAUUGAUAGGGA